UGGGGAAUAUUGCACAAUGGGCGCAAGCCUGAUGCAGCCAUGCCGCGUGUAUGAAGAAGGCCUUCGGGUUGUAAAGUACUUUCAGCGAGGAGGAAGGCGUUGUGGUUAAUAACCGCAGCGAUUGACGUUACUCGCAGAAGAAGCACCGGCUAACUCCGUGCCAGCAGCCGCGGUAAUACGGAGGGUGCAAGCGUUAAUCGGAAUUACUGGGCGUAAAGCGCACGCAGGCGGUCUGUCAAAUCGGAUGUGAAAUCCCCGGGCUCAACCUGGGAACUGCAUCCGAAACUGGCAGGCUAGAGUCUUGUAGAGGGGGGUAGAAUUCCAGGUGUAGCGGUGAAAUGCGUAGAGAUCUGGAGGAAUACCGGUGGCGAAGGCGGCCCCCUGGACAAAGACUGACGCUCAGGUGCGAAAGCGUGGGGAGCAAACA
rnacentral:rRNA from 1 species